UGGGGAAUUUUGGACAAUGGGGGAAACCCUGAUCCAGCCAUCCCGCGUGUGCGAUGAAGGCCUUCGGGUUGUAAAGCACUUUUGGCAGGAAAGAAACGUCGCGGGUUAAUACCCCGCGAAACUGACGGUACCUGCAGAAUAAGCACCGGCUAACUACGUGCCAGCAGCCGCGGUAAUACGUAGGGUGCAAGCGUUAAUCGGAAUUACUGGGCGUAAAGCGUGCGCAGGCGGUUCGGAAAGAAAGAUGUGAAAUCCCAGAGCUUAACUUUGGAACUGCAUUUUUAACUACCGGGCUAGAGUGUGUCAGAGGGGGGUGGAAUUCCGCGUGUAGCAGUGAAAUGCGUAGAUAUGCGGAGGAACACCGAUGGCGAAGGCAGCCUCCUGGGAUAACACUGACGCUCAUGCACGAAAGCGUGGGGAGCAAACAGGAUUAGAUACCCUGGUAGUCCACGCCCUAAACGAUGUCAACUAGCUGUUGGGGCCUUCGGGCCUUGGUAGCGCAGCUAACGCGUGAAGUUGACCGCCUGGGGAGUACGGUCGCAAGAUUAAAACUUAAAUGAAUUGACGGGGUCAUAGCUGUUUUCU
rnacentral:rRNA from 1 species